CGGGGCCCGCACAAGCGGUGGAGCAUUGUGGUUUAAUUCGAAGCAACGCGAAGAACCUUUACCAGGUCUUGACAUCCCGAUGCUAUUUCUAGAGAUAGAAAGUUACUUCGGUACAUCGGUGACAGGUGGUGCAUGGUUGUCGUCAGCUCGUGUCGUGAGAUGUUGGGUUAAGUCCCGCAACGAGCGCAACCCCUAUUGUUAGUUGCCAUCAUUCAGUUGGGCACUCUAGCGAGACUGCCGGUAAUAAACCGGAGGAAGGUGGGAUGACGUCAAAUCAUCAUGCCCCUUAUGACCUGGGCUACACACGUGCUACAAUGGUUGGUACAACGAGUUGCGAGUCGGUGACGGCGAGCUAAUCUCUUAAAGCCAAUCUCAGUUCGGAUUGUAGGCUGCAACUCGCCUACAUGAAGUCGGAAUCGCUAGUAAUCGCGGAUCAGCACGCCGCGGUGAAUACGUUCCCGGGCCUU
rnacentral:rRNA from 1 species